rnacentral:rRNA from 1 species
GGGAAACUGGGGCUAAAACCGGAAGCUUGAUUGAACCACAUGGUUCAAUCAUAAAAGGUGGCUUUUAGCUACCACUUGCAGAUGGACCCGCGGCGCAUUAGCUAGUUGGUGAGGUAACGGCUCACCAAGGCGACGAUGCGUAGCCGACCUGAGAGGGUGAUCGGCCACACUGGGACUGAGACACGGCCCAGACUCCUACGGGAGGCAGCAGUAGGGAAUCUUCCGCAAUGGACGAAAGUCUGACGGAGCAACGCCGCGUGAGUGAUGAAGGUUUUCGGAUCGUAAAACUCUGUUGUUAGGGAAGAACAAGUACCGUUCGAAUAGGGCGGCACCUUGACGGUACCUAACCAGAAAGCCACGGCUAACUACGUGCCAGCAGCCGCGGUAAUACGUAGGUGGCAAGCGUUGUCCGGAAUUAUUGGGCGUAAAGCGCGCGCAGGCGGUUUCUUAAGUCUGAUGUGAAAGCCCCCGGCUCAACCGGGGAGGGUCAUUGGAAACUGGGGAACUUGAGUGCAGAAGAGGAGAGUGGAAUUCCACGUGUAGCGGUGAAAUGCGUAAAGAUGUGGAGGAACACCAGUGGCGAAGGCGACUCUCUGGUCUGUAACUGACGCUGAGGCGCGAAAGCAUGGGGAGCGAACAAGAUUAGAUACCCUGGUAGUCCACGCCCUACACCAUGAGUGCUAACUGUUAGAAGGUUUCCGCCCUUUAUUGCUGCAGCAUACGCAUUAAUCACUCCGCCUGCCGAGUACUGUCGCGAGACUGAUACUCAAAAGAAUUGACAAACGCCCGCACACGCGCUGCAGCAUGUGAUUUACUUCAAAUCAUCGCGCAAAACCAUAACAUGCCGUGACGUCGGCUGACAACCCAAAAGAUAUGGCUUUCGCUUUCCCCCGCCGAGUGGACAGCUGUUACAUGAUUGUCGUCUGCUC